GGUCCCAUAGCUCAGUUGGUUAGAGCGUCGUACUAAUACUAUACAUAUGAUAGCAUUGGUCUUGUCUUGUCUCAUAUCUUGGAUAAUGAAAAGUCUAUGCGAAGGCCGUGAGUUCGAGCCUCACUGGGACCA